AAAGUGUGUCCAAUUUUGCAUUGAUUCAUUUGUAAUUCAGAUAAAAUCCCUUGCCUUUGAAAACUCCAUCUCCAACCCUUUGAUUUAAACAAAGGCAACGCCAGGCAGGGCUUAAUUUCCAAACAAAUGAUAAACAAAGAAACUACCACUCCACAGCUUGUCUGACCUCUCGUCUGGCAGCAGGCCAUGCGGGUAGAGGCAGAGGAAGAGAGGGAUUGUGGGAGGGAAGUUUGUGUGUGCGCGCGUGGCCUCAUCGCCUCAUCUCGACUGCCGAAGCCUGGCAGACUGGGGGUUUAAAUAUUAACAAGCCACACAUGGCCCUCCUCUUCUGCCGGGUCCCUCGAUGGAAGGCAACAGCAGCUCCCUCCACCAAGACAAACACGUCCGCGGCCAGACAUGCUGCAGGGGGUUUACAUUUUAAUGCCUUUGUUGGUUUUCCAAAAUAUGCUUCCAUCUCAUCCUGGAUGGGAUCCCUUCAGGUCCACAAAGCCAGGUGACGUCCAUCAUUUCAGGGGUGAGUGAGAACCUGAUGUCUAAGCAGCCGCCGUUAACCGAUCUACAGGAUGUGGUUUCUUCACUUCCACCCGAGGUCUGCUGGGAGGAAGUAUCAUGCUCUGUAGUGCACGAGGUAAAAAGGAGGAGCCACAGAGGUUAACCAAAGAGAUGAGAAGACUCACCACAGUGCAGCAGAGAGGCCAGAACCACCACAAGAAGGCCAGAGCCGCGAG